UUAACACAUGCAAGUCGAACGGUAACAUAAAGGAGCUUGCUUCUUUGAUGACGAGUGGCGGACGGGUGAGUAAUGCUUGGGAAUCUAGCUUAUGGAGGGGGACAACUACGGGAAACUGUAGCUAAUACCGCGUAGUAUCGGGAGAUGAAAGUGUGGGACCUUCGGGCCACAUGCCAUAGGAUGAGCCCAAGUGGGAUUAGGUAGUUGGUGAGGUAAAGGCUCACCAAGCCGACGAUCUCUAGCUGGUCUGAGAGGAUGACCAGCCACACUGGGACUGAGACACGGCCCAGACUCCUACGGGAGGCAGCAGUGGGGAAUAUUGCGCAAUGGGGGCAACCCUGACGCAGCCAUGCCGCGUGAAUGAAGAAGGCCUUCGGGUUGUAAGGUUCUUUCGGUAGCGAGGAAGGCAUUUAGUUUAAUAGACUAGGUGAUUGACGUUAACUACAGAAGAAGCACCGGCUAACUCCGUGCCAGCAGCCGCGGUAAUACGGAGGGUGCGAGCGUUAAUCGGAAUAACUGGGCGUAAAGGGCACGCAGGCGGUGACUUAAGUGAGGUGUGAAAGCCCCGGGCUUAACCUGGGAAUUGCAUUUCAUACUGGGUCGCUAGAGUACUUUAGGGAGGGGUAGAAUUCCACGUGUAGCGGUGAAAUGCGUAGAGAUGUGGAGGAAUACCGAAGG
rnacentral:rRNA from 1 species